UUCAGGUGGGCCUGGUGGAGCACCUGAGCUGUGCCUGGAGAGCCUAACCCACCUGCUCUGUGGGGCUUCACAUUGACUUCAGGCUCUCUGCAUGGGGUGGCUGCUGGGGAAAUCUGGAGAGGAGAUGGGUUGGAUUGGAGAUGGCAGACCUAGACAGGAAGAAGAACAACAAAGGGUUCUUAUUAUUAGUAAAUGACUCUUUUGUUUUAUUUAUUUAGUGAAACAAACCUGAGUGCCCCUCUCCUGUGACCCCAUCUGAAUGACUAUUUUUUUCCUCUUGCCUUCAUCUAUUUAAUGCCUCCUCCUGCUUUGGCCUGGAAGAAGGAGAAUUUCCCAGAGCAGUGAAUUGCUGACUGAAUGCUCUCUUCCACUUCUGUCAAGAUUUGAAGUCCUCAUCCUGGGAAGAUGUUUUCAAACUCCUCCUCAUCUGUCUUUACUGAACUUGUGUUCUCUCUCAUUUUUAUCCCAUUGAUUUUUCUUUUUCCUUUGGUAGUAUCUUUCAAAAUUUGUUGUUUAUGCAUACCCUUAUCUGCAUAGUGAGAGGAAUGGUUAUUUCACCUCUUUAUUUCACAGUAUUCUUCCCAAACCCAUGUAAUUUCUCUGAAAUGAUUUUACUUUUUUUUUUUUUUUUCCUCAUUUUGCUAAAAUAUUAAGUAGCAUAGAGCUAUGACCUAGCCCUAGAGGAUAUUUUCUAGAAAUAUUGCUGCCUCUUUGUUUCCGCUUAUCUUUUAAAACCUAUUGAAGAACUAACUUUCUUACUUAAAAUGUGUGAAGCUGGGUUUGGUUUCACUCCCAUUUCUUAUGUGACUCAAAGUUGAAAGUUGUAGAAAAAUUCAGGAUCGUUAUUUCAGUGCUGCUGCCUUUAUCAGCUAAACUAAUCUAUUUCAAUAAAUAAUCAGUAUUGUUUGA